rnacentral:lncRNA from 1 species
UUCCUUCUUGGCAUGUGGGUUUUAGGAAGAGAAAAAAAAAGGGCUUCUUCCUCCUUUCCCCCCUGUUUUUCCUCUAAUCUUCUUCAUCUCUGAGAGGGUCUGAGAGAAUUAAGGAAGAGUCUGCAUCAACCAUCAAAGAAGCGGUCUUUCAUAAGGGAGCCAGCAUUCUGGUGAAAAUGCAGGCCUUUGAUUGGAUUGAAGGUUUCAUGUGGAUAUCCCUAGAGGUCGG